UGACUUGAAGUGUAGAAUUGAGGAAGAGGAAGUUGAGUUGUUGAAAGACUAGCUCUGAUGUAUGCUGAUGAUUCUGACAAUGACUCAUUCAGAAUUGAAAUUUUGCUAACAUGUUGUCAUUCAAUCUGCUAUGAAUAUACCACACUUGAUUGAAUAGUGAGUCUAUUGCUUGUUCAUUGAUGUUCAAUUUGAUGUUUGUUUUUGACUUUCAUAUGAGAUAGAGUACUAGAUCUCUCUUGUAUUUAUUGAGGAUUGAAAGCUUCUCUCUUGAGGGCUUUUUGUGAGACAUGGGUGUAGAAGAAACAGUGAA
rnacentral:sRNA from 1 species